GGUGCUGUGGCUUAGCUGGUCAAAGCACCUGUCUUGUAAACGGGACCCUGGGUUCAAAUCCCAGCAGUACCU
rnacentral:tRNA from 1 species